UGGACACACUCUGGAGAGUCUCAUAAUAAGAGCGCCGAAGGUGUAAGGGUCGCAAGAUCCCAAUCUCUCAGGCAAAAGGACAGAGAAAAAACG
rfam:Dialister sp. CAG:486 genomic scaffold, scf421